CUUGUGUCAGGUUAACCUCAGAGACGCAUUCGGAGCUCAGCAUCUGGGAGAUGGAGGGGACGCACGUCUAUCCAUUUGGUGCAACCCCCCUCCCUCCCCAACAAUAAAAAAAGGCUACUAUGCCAAAAUUUGUGCACUGUCAGUCCCGCGGGCUGCGUUUAUUCCCAGAUUUAUGUUAAUAGCACUGCUGUAUUAAGUUUUAGACAGAGAGGGAGGAAGAGAGAGAGAGAGAGAGCAAUGCAUGCAGAAAGGAAGAUGCUACUGAUGCUUCUGCAACACAUGUGUUAAGUCACUUCACACACCACAAUAACACCUGAACUUGCAGCAGCUGGCACUGUUAAACAUACACUCGCUCAGUCCUACCAUGGCAGCAACAGAUAGCAACAAAAGUCCUAAAUCUUUAAGGUGUAACAGCUGUUGGUCAUUAGGUGAACCAUGAAGGAAAAAAAUACCAAUGAUGUUUUUUCCUACAUAAGUGAGACACUGUGUGACCUGUAUAAGAAACUGCUGUUGCAACUGAAUAAAUCCUAAAUAGAGGCUUUUUGACGCAUAGUCGCCCCAGGUUCGAUUGCCAUCACAUGAAUCUUCAGGGGUUUUUGUGAGACACAGAUCUGUGCUGCCUGAUACAAGCAUUUUGCAUUAACAGUUAACUAUGCAUGAAUGUGGAACCCUUGUGGUUUCCGAGACCACUAUGAAUAAAGGAUGCCUUGCAAAAUAAAGCUUAAUAGAGUCACAAUAAUAAAGCUGAGAGUUUUAGUAGUGAACUCUGAAUGUAGAGACGGAUUUGACGUCAUGAGUGAGGUACAUUGGGGUUGUGUACAGAUGUUUGAUCACAGUUCUCAGAAUCAGUUAGCGCUUCCUGUCGGAUUUCUUGAAUAUAAGAUAUUUACCUACAAUGACUGGAGCCGGCAAGAUUUCAGUCAGUCAAGUAAUUAUUAAUCAUGACAUUGAAUACGUGUGAAAAGCUACAUUUCUGAAAUAAUGAAAUAUGAAUCGUUUAUGAAAUAACAUUUUUUAUUUAUGAGAUACAUUCCAGUUGCACUCCUAAACACUUUUUAGUGUGAAAUGAACUUUUACACUAUAUAUAAACAAAAACAAAUGCUGAAUGAAGUUAAAACAACUUGGUUUUGCUAUUCAAUUUUACCGUUUUGACCUGUGAUAAGUUGACAUAACUUUAAAAAACAAGUUGAAAUUGUUUAAUUGGUAACACAAAAAUAUAUGUUGAUUUUACAAAAAUGCUGCAUUUUUUCAGUGUACAUGAGUCGGUUAUUUUAUCGACUGUU